rnacentral:rRNA from 1 species
UGGUGGAGUGAUUUGUCUGGUUAAUUCCGUUAACGAACGAGACCUCGACCUACUAAAUAGUUGACUUAAUUCUUCGGGGUUUGGAUUGACUUCUUAGAGGGACUUUUGGUGAGUAGCCAAAGGAAGUUCGAGGCAAUAACA